CAGCAGCCGCGGUAAUACGUAGGGUGCAAGCGUUAAUCGGAAUUACUGGGCGUAAAGCGUGCGCAGGCGGUUAUAUAAGUCAGAUGUGAAAUCCCCGGGCUCAACCUGGGAACUGCAUUUGAGACUGUAUGGCUAGAGUGUGUCAGAGGGGGGUAGAAUUCCACGUGUAGCAGUGAAAUGCGUAGAUAUGUGGAGGAAUACCGAUGGCGAAGGCAGCCCCCUGGGAUAACGCUGACGCUCAUGCACGAAAGCGUGGGGAGCAAACAGGAUUAGAUACCCCUGUAGUCCCUGUCUCUUAUAC
rnacentral:rRNA from 1 species